rnacentral:tRNA from 1 species
UCCCUGGAGGACUAGUGGUUAGGCCACAGUACUCUCACCACUGUGGCCUGGGUUCAAUUCGUGGCCAGGGAA